rnacentral:lncRNA from 1 species
GCUCUGGGUCAGGUCGUGGGCCGGGUCACCUCUGCCCUGCUUCCAUUCGCAUUUCUUCAUCACCCUGUAACGCAUUUAACGGCAAUCACUGAGCAAGUCAGGCGUGCCUAUGAUGGGAUUUUCUCUCAUGGAGGAUAGCAGCUUCUUUAGGCCGCCCCCUGGGCCUCUUGAUCCUGCAGCAGACUACAGUGUGAUGAAGCAAGCCCUGUAGAAUCUAACAGCUGCUGUUUUUCCUUGUUCUUGGUUCCAGUGCUUUGAAGAGAGCAGAUGCCAUCUCAUCAAUUGGCACAUCAGGGCUGACAGACAUGAAGAAGCUGGCCAAGUGGGUGGCGAGUCCAAGCUGGACCCCAACGACCCCAACAACGCCCCUCUGAUGCAGCUAAUCUCGGUUGCCACCAGUGGAGAAUCUUAUGUCCCUGAUUUCUUUCGACUGGAACAGCUGCAACAAGAAUUUAACUUUGUCUCAGAUGAGGAAUUAAAUAGAUCCAAAGCGAUUCCGGCUUCUCCGUCUUAGAAGCCAAGAGGUGCCAGAAUUCGAAAUUAUAAGCAAAUUCCGGCAUAUGACCGAGAAAUUAUGGAAAGGGUAUUCCAGCAUAUAUCCAGUAACCAGGAUUCUGAAUCAGUUGGUUGAACUGCCUACAAUUAAAAGAAGAGGAAGACUGAAAAGAUCGUGCAGGACUAUGAGAAACGUUUGCGAGACAAAAGCGUAAUUGAAACCAAGGACCACAUGGACACCCACCGAGCCAUAGUUGCCAAGUACCUGCAGCAGGUUAGAGAGUCAGUAGUAAAUCGUUUCCUAAUUGCAAAACAUCAUUUCCUUCUUGCUGACUUGGUAGUAGAAGAAGAAGUUCCCAAUAUCAGGUAAAAAGAAUCAAACAAAGCCAUUAUUAUUAUUGUUUCCUAUAAAAAUCUUUAUUUUUAUUCUAUACUGUAAAAAAAUGUCAUACAAGAUUUUUUCAUAAUCAUGUAACUUUUAUUACAGUUCUAUUUUAUUAUUGUUAACCCCAUACCAUGCCUCAUUUUAAGUUAAACUUUAUCAUAGAUAUGUAUGUAUAAGAAGAAAAGAUAUAGAUGUAUAUGAUUCAGUAUUAUUUGGGGUUCCCGUCACCCACUAGGGGUCUUGGGGUAUAUCCGCAGAUACAGAGGGAGUAGUGUCCUUUAUUUGGCAGUGGGAGAGACAGGAAGGAAAGGGAGAGGAGGAAGGUUGAAGGAAUAAAGAAAAGAUAAAACUCUUUAUUCAACCAAAAUUUAAUAUGACAAUUCUAACAAUGAAAACACCCAAAUGCUCUAAGGAAGUGAUGGUAGGAAGCAAGAAAUCUGCCUCCUAGCUGCCCGGACACUCGGGUGAUCAGUCUUUGAUAACCCGAACAGGUACUCUGAAGAAUUUGAACGAAACAUGCUGUUCCUUCUGUUUCCCAGACUCAACCUAUUUAUUUGCUCUACACAUUCUUUACCGUAAGAGUUAUACACACACGUGAUAAAUUGAAAAUACCCAAUAGUAUAAAAAUCGCUCCAUGGUAUGCAUGUGGGCCCAGAAUGAUGCGCCGUGGUGACACUGAUUGGGGAAUUUCUGUUAGAACGAGUCAAGCCAGAGCCUCCCCAUGGCAUUCCAGUUUAGCCCUCUCACCUGCUAGCACUUCCAAAGCAUCCCUUCCCCAGCGUCCGCUGCUUUCUAUCACAAAACCCAACCCUCCUGCACAGGCCCUCUGCUUCCGAGCCUCCCAGGGCCAGGCUGCC